AAAGCAACCGUUCUUCUAUCAAUAUUUUCGAAGUCUAUAAAUUGAUGGCGCAUACCGGAAGCUACGAACUUGGAAAGUAUACACAAAAAAACAUGAAGAUAUGCUCCCUCUUAGCCUGCGAAACAUCUGAUUCUUCUACUUGUGGAACGACAAUUGUCACAAUGGACUCAAAAUUCCGGAGUAUUUCCAUCAAGAUUGACUCUGAAGAAGUUACUUCGUCAUUCUACCAGCCAGUAACUUUGUCAAGUGGUUUGAUACCAGUUUUCAAUACUACUUACCAGGAGAGUGUUGUGAAUGGCAGCAGAUCUAUUCUUUUUACGACGAAUAAACCCCAGGAAAAAGUCUCAGUAUUCGGGAUUUAUGGCGUUAGCGGCAACACUGUAAAUACUAGCCUAACAAUUCUGAUAGUGUUAAUGGCAACGAUGUGUUUGGUUUGAAAGUUUCUCUUGUAGGAACUUGAAAAUGUUCGUGGAAGACUUCGAAUGGAAUAUUUUCAGAAUAAUGUAGACUAUAAGUAUAAAUAAUUUAUUUUUAUUUAUCAUCUGAACAAAACACAAUGAACAUAUAUCAAUACAUCUUUAUAUAAAAUUUACAAUAUUGGAAAACAGCAAAUAUACAAGAAAACCAAAUUGUUCAUAGAAGUAGACCUAAUAGAUUAUUUUUUAUUU